rnacentral:tRNA from 1 species
GGAGAGGUGGCAGAGCGGUUGAAUGCGGCGCACUCGAAAUGCGUUAUAGGCUAAAACCCUAUCGGGGGUUCAAAUCCCCCCUCUCCG